CCUACGGGAGGCAGCAGUGAGGAAUAUUGGUCAAUGGACGAGAGGCUGAACCAGCCAAGUAGCGUGAAGGAUGACUGCCCUAUGGGUUGUAAACUUCUUUUAUAUGGGAAUAAAAUGUUCCACGUGUGGGAUUUUGUAUGUACCAUAUGAAUAAGGAUCGGCUAACUCCGUGCCAGCAGCCGCGGUAAUACGGAGGAUCCGAGCGUUAUCCGGAUUUAUUGGGUUUAAAGGGAGCGUAGGUGGAUUGUUAAGUCAGUUGUGAAAGUUUGCGGCUCAACCGUAGAAUUGCAGUUGAAACUGGAAGCCUUGAGUACAGUAGAGGUGGGCGGAAUUCGUGGUGUAGCGGUGAAAUGCUUAGAUAUCACGAAGAACUCCGAUUGCGAAGGCAGCUCACUGGAGUGCAACUGACACUGAGGCUCGAAAGUGUGGGUAUCAAACAGGAUUAGAUACCCGGGUAGUC
rnacentral:rRNA from 1 species